rnacentral:rRNA from 1 species
ACGUACACUCCUGCGGGAGGCAGCAGUGGGGAAUAUUGGACAAUGGGCGCAAGCCUGAUCCAGCCAUGCCGCGUGAGUGAUGAAGGCCCUAGGGUUGUAAAGCUCUUUCACCGGUGAAGAUAAUGACGGUAACCGGAGAAGAAGCCCCGGCUAACUUCGUGCCAGCAGCCGCGGUAAUACGAAGGGGGCUAGCGUUGUUCGGAUUUACUGGGCGUAAAGCGCACGUAGGCGGACUAUUAAGUCAGGGGUGAAAUCCCGGGGCUCAACCCCGGAACUGCCUUUGAUACUGGUAGUCUUGAGUUCGAUAGAGGUGAGUGGAAUUCCGAGUGUAGAGGUGAAAUUCGUAGAUAUUCGGAGGAACACCAGUGGCGAAGGCGGCUCACUGGCUCGAUACUGACGCUGAGGUGCGAAAGCGUGGGGAGCAAACAGGAUUAGAUACCCUUGUAGUCCCAUGA